rnacentral:rRNA from 1 species
UACGGGGGGGGCAAGCGUUGUCCGGAAUUAUUGGGCGUAAAGGGCUCGUAGGCGGUUUGUCGCGUCGGGAGUGAAAACACCGGGCUUAACUCGGUGCUUGCUUUCGAUACGGGCAGACUAGAGGCAUGCAGGGGAGAACGGAAUUCCUGGUGUAGCGGUGAAAUGCGCAGAUAUCAGGAGGAACACCGGUGGCGAAGGCGGUUCUCUGGGCAUGUCCUGACGCUGAGGAGCGAAAGUGUGGGGAGCGAACAGG